CGCCUCUUGCUUAUAUAAGAGGUCCAGCCUGCCCAGUGACUCUUGUUCAACGGCCGCGGUAUCCUGACCGUGCGAAGGUAGCGUAAUCACUUGUCUUCUAAAUAAAGACUAGUAUGAAAGGCAUCACGAGGACUAAACUGUCUCCUCUCUCUAAUCAGUGAACCUAAUCUCCCCGUGAAGAAGCGGGGAUUUUUAUAUAAGACGAGAAGACCCUAUGGAGCUUUAAACAUCAUAACACCUGCUGCCGCAUCUUUACACUACUCAGGUAUUCCUCCACACAGCACACUGAUUACAUGUUUUUGGUUGGGGUGACCGCGGAGAAAAGCUAAUCCUCCGCAAUGAAAGGGACUUUCCCUAAACAGCAAGCUACAACUUUAAGUAUCAGCAAACUGACAUUCAUUGACCCAAUAUAUUGAUUAACGAACCAAGUUACCCUAGGGAUAACAGCGCAAUCCACUUCAAGAGCCCCUAUCGACAAGUGGGCUUACGACCUCGAUGUUGGAUUGGGGUAUCCUAGUGGUGCAGCCGCUACUAAAGGUUCGUUUGUUCAACGAUUAAAACCCC
rnacentral:rRNA from 1 species